GAUGAACGCUGGCGGCGUGCCUAAUACAUGCGAGUCGAGCGAACAGACGAGGAGCUUGCUCCUCUGACGUUAGCGGCGGACGGGUGAGUAACACGUGGAUAACCUACCUAUAAGACUGGGAAAACUUCGGGAAACCGGAGCUAACACCGGAUAAUAUAUUGAACCGCAUGGUUCAAUAGUGAAAGACGGUUUUGCUGUCACUUAUAGAUGGAUCUCCGCCGCAUUGUAUAGUUGGUAAGGUAACGGGUUACCAAGGGUACGAUGCGUAGCCGAGCUGAGAGGGUGAUCGGCCACACUGGAGCUGAGACACGCUCCAGACUCCUACGGGAGGCCGCAGUAGGGAAUCGUCCGCAAUAGGCGAAAGCUUGGCGGAGCAACGCCGCGUGAGUGAUGAAGGUCUUCGGAUCGUAAAACUCUGUUAUUAGGGAAGAACAAAUGUGUAAGUAGCUAUGCACGUCUUGACGGUACCUAAUCAGAAAGCCCCGGCUAACUACGUG
rnacentral:rRNA from 1 species